rnacentral:rRNA from 1 species
AGAGUUUGAUCCUGGCUCAGAACGAACGCUGGCGGCAGGCUUAACACAUGCAAGUCGAACGCCCCGCAAGGGGAGUGGCAGACGGGUGAGUAACGCGUGGGAAUCUACCUAUCUCUACGGAAUAACCCAGGGAAACUUGGACUAAUACCGUAUACGCCCUUUUGGGGAAAGAUUUAUCGGAGAUGGAUGAGCCCGCGUUGGAUUAGCUAGUUGGUGGGGUAAAGGCCUACCAAGGCGACGAUCCAUAGCUGGUCUGAGAGGAUGAUCAGCCACAUUGGGACUGAGACACGGCCCAAACUCCUACGGGAGGCAGCAGUGGGGAAUAUUGGACAAUGGGCGCAAGCCUGAUCCAGCCAUGCCGCGUGAGUGAUGAAGGCCCUAGGGUUGUAAAGCUCUUUCAACGGUGAAGAUAAUGACGGUAACCGUAGAAGAAGCCCCGGCUAACUUCGUGCCAGCAGCCGCGGUAAUUC